GGGGACAACCCGCCGAAAGGCGGGCUAAACCCGCGUACAUGCCACCGGGGCAUCCCGGAGGCAGGAAAGGCUUCGGCCGGACAGGGAUGGGCAUGCGGCGCAUUAGGCAGUAGGCGGGGUAACGGCCCACCUAACCGACGAUGCGUAGGGGUUCUGAGAGGAAGGUCCCCCACACUGGUACUGAGACACGGACCAGACUCCUACGGGAGGCAGCAGUGAGGAAUAUUGGUCAAUGGUCGGGAGACUGAACCAGCCAAGCCGCGUGAGGGAUGAAGGUACAGAGUAUCGUAAACCUCUUUUGUCAGGGAACAAAGGCGGGGACGUGUCCCCGGAUGAGUGUACCUGAAGAAAAAGCAUCGGCUAACUCCGUGCCAGCAGCCGCAGUAAUACGGAGGAUGCGAGCGUUAUCCGGAUUUAUUGGGUUUAAAGGGUGCGCAGGCGGUCUGUUAAGUCAGCGGUCAAAGCCCGGGGCUCAACCCCGGCCCGCCGUUGAAACCGGCAGUCUCGAGUUGGAGAGAAGUAUGCGGAAUGCGCGGUGUAGCGGUGAAAUGCAUAGAUAUCGCGCAGAACUCCGAUUGCGAAGGCAGCAUGCCGGCUCCACACUGACGCUGAGGCACGAAAGCGUGGGUAUCGAACAGGAUUAGAUACCCUGGUAGUCCACGCAGUAAACGAUGAA
rnacentral:rRNA from 1 species